rnacentral:ncRNA from 1 species
GUGUUGUAUGAAAGGAGAGAAGGUUAGCACUCCCCUUGACAAGGAUGGAAGAGGCCCUUGGGCCUGACAACACGCAUACGGUUAAGGCAUUGCCACCUACUUCGUGGUAUCUAACCACUGUUUUGG